GGAAUUCAGCUGCUGGCUUUCCUUACAUACAUGGGUGAGGGAACAUACUAAUCCUGUGUAAUAAACUGUUUUCUUUGUGGCUGCUGCUGUUGGAGCCUGCACAACGGACUAAUGAACUAUCUAAUGUCUCUUCAUUCUCCUGACAGAGUCGAAUAUGCUGUGCCACCGUUUUCUCUGUUGACAAGCUUGCAAUUGAGCUGACUAGUGUGCAUGCUACCUGUGAGCAGUUAAAACUGCUUCACUUUUGUAUUCAUCAGAGUACGGCUCCAUAGGCUGUGCAGCAGUUGUUUUGGACAACACCCUGAGAGACAGAAAUGGUGAUCUUCUCUGGGGGUGCUGAUGGGGCAGUGUCAGGUGAUGUUCAUGGAAGAAGACCUUUACACAUCAGAUGGUGACAAAGAAGAACGCCCAGCUAACUGUUACCAAAAUAGGGGUGUGUGAAAUCUCUCUCAAGAAUGAUAAACUCCAUUGAGCUGCCUAUUUUUAACCUCCUGUUCUUUCCUCUGGGCAGACUAAUCAGUGCUAGAUGAGCUGUUUCACUGAAUGAAUCCAAGCAGCCCUGUUGCUUUCUGAAAUGAGCAGUGGACCUUGCAAGAGCAUUUCAAGUCUGCUUUAAUACACGAAGUCCUAUUUUGAAACAUGUCAAAUGAAGCCAGUUUGGAGCAGAAGCCAUCCACAACAACAAUCAGUUCAGUGGCCGUUCAGGCGGGGGAUGCCAGUAUUGUUAUAGCUGUACUCAAGUGCGGAAAAUGGGUGAAGCUUCAGCUGGUUGAAUCAACACCAAAUUUAUUAGAAAUUGGCAGCAAUCAAGAUGAGACUAAAAAACUACUGCAGGAUCAUGAAUUCCUCCUAGCUAAACUGAAGGCUUUGGAAGACCAGGUAUGGGAGGUGCUCCGUGAAGCAGACGAGGCUGCAGAGGAGAGAAAUGAAAACAUUCAGGUUUAUGAUGCCAUGGCAGAUACCCUUGGGGAUGCAUGGGAUGCCCUCAUCAUUAUGCUGGAGAAGCGACAGGGACUUCUGAAACUUACUUCGGUGUUCUUUGAACAUGCUCUGGAGUUUGCUGUUAAAAUUGACCAAGUUGAAGAUUUCCUGAAAAAUGCACAAGAGUUUGACAAUAUUGACUCUUUGAGAGAACUUCUUCUGCAUCAAGAGCACCAUACAAAAGAGCUUUUGGAAAAGUCAUUUGCACUUUUGAACAAAAGCCAAGAGCUAACUGAAUUCAUAGAAGAAUUCAAAUGUGAGGGGCCAAAUGCAAAUCCAAAGCUGAUUCAGGGAGCCCACAGCAGCUGCUUGAAAAUUGACAAUCUCCUUGAAAUGCUACAAGACAGGAGACGUCAGUUGGAUAGAUUUCUCAAACAUCAGCGUCAAGGACUGGAGCAAGUUUUGCAAAUUUAUUUGUGGCAUCAGCAAGAGAACCAGGUAACAUCUUGGUACAAGAAAAACAUCAGAGAUUAUUUUCACAAGAAAGAUUUAGGCUCAUCUCUGCUGGAAAAUGAAGAGUUACUUCGAGAGCUUGAAGCAAUGGAAGUCAAAGUGAAAGAAUGGAAUUCCACUGUGGAACAACUGGAAGCUGAAGCACUUAAGGUCUUGCUUUCAGAGGACUACACAGAAAAAGAACAACUAAAGCUUUCAAAUCAGAAAAUCUGUCAGUUGCGAGAAGAAGCGUGCUUCCAUAUGGAAGAAAGGAAAGCCCUGCUACAAGAGGCCAAUGACUUUUUUCAUCAUGUUGGCAAGGCACUCGAUGGUCUUGAAGGUAUUGAGAAUUACCUUAAAAUCUAUAAUUCAGAAGGCUUAAAUUUGCCUAUCUUGACAAUGAAGUGCGGGGAAUUACAGAAAGCAAUUAAAGACUGCACAGCGAGUACCUUGCAAAAGGGACAAGCUUUGGUUGAAAAAGCAGAUUCUCACAGCUCUUGGGUGACAGGAAUUCAGAAAACGAUGGGCCAUAUCAAAAAAAAGGUAGAUAAAUUAAUUGGGCAGUGUCCAGAUUAUGAGGAUCUUACUUUGAAGAAACAACAAUGGACUGCCUCACUUGAAGAUCAUCUAAAUAAGGUAUUGCAGUCAAUAAAAAAAAUCACCCCAGUGCUUGCAGUUGGUAUGGAGAUUGGCUCAUGUGUGUCUGAGUCGGAAAGAGUUUUGAACAAACACCUUCAACUGGCUGAACAAACAAAGGAAACUUCACGUGAACUGGAAGCAGCUGAAAGAAUCAUCAAAGAUAUGGAAGAGUUUGAACCUGAGGAGAAAGCAGCUUUUUCUAGCAGAAUUGACUUUCUGAAUGAAGAAUUGAAAAAAAUUGGAAAAUGCAUUAGUUCAAGAGUAGAAAUUGUACAAACAUAUGUGGCCUUUCUAAAGUCAGCUAUAGAGGUGAAUGAUGAUAUUCAAAACCUGAAGCAAUUCUAUAAAUCGGAAGCACUACAAACAAACAGAGAAGCUGGAAACAAAACUGCAAUGGAGUCAACUAAUACUCAGUGGCAGAAGGCUAUAAAGAAGAUCUUUUGCACACAAAAUAUGGCUUGCAAUUUUCUUAAUUUAGUAUUUAUGGCAAAUCAGACUUUAAUAUUAAAAGCAGAAAAAACUGUACAAACAACAGAAGAUAUCAUUGUUAAUCUGAGUAAAGAAAAGGAAGAGCUGACUGAUCUUUGGGCAACCUGGAAUUUUAAAAUUACUGAAGCAAAACCCAUCAAGCAACAGUGCCAGAUAUUUAAAGAACAACUGAAAAUUACUACACAUGGAUUAGAGAUUCUUCAAGACGCACUCCAGCUUGGAGCAUCAGUUGAUCUUGGAAGUGACCUUUUCAUUGUUUUGGAACUACAAAAAAAUCUUAACCAAAUGAAACCACAGUAUCAGCAACUGAAUGCCGAGCUUGAGUACCUGAUAAAAUUAUUGAAAUUGCUAAGCCAGAAAGGAUUUCCUGUGAAAGACAAUUCUGAGAGAAUAAGUAAGCUUAUUCAUCUCCAUCAAAUGGUAAAGGACACCGUAACAGCAUAUGAUGAGAUUUUCAACAAGACAGUCAAGUUCCAUCACAUUAAAAAAGAACUGGAGUCUCUAUCAAAAUCAGGAGAACUGGAUAUUCCUGAAGUAUGUGAGGACCCUGAAAAUGUGCACCAUGCUGAAACCUACCUUGUGAAUGCUCAAGAGAAACAUACAUAUAUCAGACAUCUAUACAAACUGCUUAUUACCCAGGGUGCGGAUAUUUUGUCUGCUACACAACGAACUAAUUGCUCGUAUGUUUCUGUAAAGAAUCUGAAGCAAGAACUUGCGAGGUUUGAGUGUGAUAGCAUUAACUGGAGCUCCAAAGCCGAUAAAUAUGAGGAAGAACUGUCACAGUAUUUCCAACACUGCACCACUCAAGAGGAGAUAAAUGAGCUUGGGGAAUCAUUUAAGGAUCUCAAAAAGAAAUUCAAUAAUUUGAAGUUUAACUAUAUGAAAAAAACUGAAAAAGCUCGAAAUCUGAAAGUACUUAAAGUACAGAUUCAGCAAGUUGAUACAUAUGCAGAGAAAAUACAGGCUCUUAAAAAGAAGAUGGAUAAUUUAGAGAAGAAAGUCAUUGGUUCUGUAACAAAUGAACCUUAUGCUAAAGUCGGAGUCCUCUUGGAGUCAGUCAGUGACUUAAAAAAACAGCUGAGUGACUUUAGCAGAGUUGUGGAGGAUUACAAGCAAAAUCUGGAUCUUGUGGAGCAUCUGCAACAGAUGAUGGAAGAGUGUCAAUUUUGGUUUCAAGAUGUAAGUGCAACAGUUGUUAGAGUUGGCAAGUAUUCUGUGGAAUGCAAAACAAGAGAAGCAAUAGAGACUCUCUGCAAGCAAUUCAAUAAGUUUAUUGAACCUGCAAUGUCUCAACAAGAAGAAAAAAUGCAGGAGAUGACAGACCUUGCUAAACGUUUGUAUGGUAUUGAAGAAGGAAAGAAGUAUGUUGAAAAAAACAUAUUAAAGUACAAAGAAAUCAUAAAUUCUAUUGAUGAAUUGUAUAAAGCUCUGAGAGAACUGAAGGAGAUGAAGAAAGAUGAAUUUUCUGAAGAGUUGAUUACUGUUCAAAAAGAGGAAAGAAAUGGUCAAGAAGCACAUGAGAGUGUUAUUAAAGACAAAGCAGAGGAACAAAAACAGCAGGUGGCAUCAGGUAAAUUGUUUACAAAUUCAGAAAGCAUUACUAAGAAGAGAAAAAACACUGUGUCUCCUACCAGCACUGAACAGGAGAGGAAUAAAUUGGUUGAUAUUCUGUUUAUCUGUCCAGCUGGUGAGGAUCUUGUUUCACAGGAUACAGAGCUGUCAUCUUCAGCCAAAGUGGAUAGUUUACAGACUGAACUCCUGGCAGAAGAAAUACUCUCUGGAGAUGAAUAUGAGUGUAUAUCACCUGAUGAUAUUUCUUUGCCACCGCUUUCUGAGACACCAGAAUCGAACAUCGUGCAUUCUGAAACAGAGCUAGAAGAGCAGUGCUGUUGUAGUUCUCAUAGUCUGCAUGUUAAUUCCCUUAGCUUGCAAAUGCGGGAAAACAGUAGUAUUAAUAAAGUGAUGGAAGCAUCUGAUCUCUUAACAAAUUCUGCUUAUGCUGAUGCUACAAAUCUACCAAAAAAUAGAUUAGAAAGCACAUCAGAUCAGUCUGAGAAGUUUUGUAUCUCUUCAGCAGAUUCUGGUCCAAAAGUCAGAGCAGUAUCUCCUUUGACUUGUAGCUUACAAGGAACAUCUGAAGCUACCACUGCUUCCUGCACUAUAAAUGCCAAACCAGUAUAUAGCAUGAUGAAUGAAGUGUGCAAAACACAUUUGCAAUACCUUGAGCUUCGUAAAAGCAUGGCAGAUACACAAGAACAAUUGCAUGACUUGAAUAACUGUACUAAAAUCCAAGGCAGGCUGCAUGCUUUGCCUGAUGCAUUCUCAGGUUUCGUGUUUCAACCAGACGCUACCAGAAGCUGUCAGAGGCAGAUGGUCACCCGAGAAGAGAUUAAAAGUUCAUCAGAAAAGAACAGCAUGGCCAGCCUAACUGGACAGGCGCCUAAUUUCUCCCAGCUUCUGUCUAACAAAACGGUCAUGGAAGGUUCUCCGGUAACUUUGGAAGUAGAAGUAACAGGAUUCCCAGAGCCUACACUGACAUGGUACAAGAAGGGCCAGAAACUGACUGCAGAUGAGCACUUAAAGCUUUUACAAAAGGAGACAAAGCAUACUUUGUUCAUUCAGAAGGUGUGUGAUAAAGAUGCUGGCCUCUAUGUUGUUCGGGCUAAAAAUUUGAACGGCACUAUCUCAUCAAGUGCCAUUCUCCACGUGAAAGGUAACAGGCCACCUAUUACAAGAAUAGACUGGAUAAUGUUGUAUGUCAUCUAUCUUAGCAUAUCACUAAUGUACUGGCUAUUCACAAAAUAAAUACAGUAUUGACUUCACUAGACUUAAUUCUCACAUGCUAAGACAACAUUGAAUUUAUUUUUUUUACACUGCAUCUUUCACAAUCUGUACCAAACCACUUUUAUGCCACACUUGAUGUAUAACUGUUUCUUUAAUACCAGUAUUAUGCGCUUAUUUUCCUUUCUCAUAGUGAUAUGGAGAUUAAAAAAUUACAACUAUUUUCUAGAAUCUGAGACGGAGUUUUGAUUUCUAAAAAUGUUGGCAGUAUGAAGUGUUGGAAAUGGUUGUAAUGGUUACAGGUGUGAAAUGUCAAGAUGCACCCAGGGAGAACACAUACUGCAAAUUGCCACAGUCGGUGAGAUUGAAGACUGACAUUUAAAUAUUUUGAUACAGUGAUUGUAACUUGAUUAAAAUUCCUUUAACUUUGAAACAGGAGAAAAUCCCAAGGAAGUAUAACCUCACAGGAAUAUGACAGGCAGAAGGAGGAAGAGGUGGUGAGCAGAUGAGGGAAUAAAGUGAAUUCUAACUAAAAUUAAUAUUAACGAGCAACUUUCUAUGUCCAGUCAUCCCAGUCAUCUCUCAAAAAUGUUGAUUCAAAAAGGAUUCUCUUAGGUAUAAAAAUCACCUAUUUUCUUAAAUCGUACUUUCCAUUUCACAAUAAAGUAAUUCUAAUAAUUAGUAUGAUUUUGGAUGUUUCAAUUUUCAUAAAAGUGAAAUUCAGUUUACUGUUUUUAUGUCUUUGUGACUUUAUGUAUUGGUAUUAUAAAAAUACUACAAAGAACCCAUGUGAGAAAGUCAACUUGUAUAAAGGGUAUAUUAUGUAAUGCUGUGCUAAGAAUAAGCCAAAAUGUCUCUCCUACAUUCUGUAAGGUUUUACCCGCUGCAGAGCUGUCAGUGAUUGAUAACUUCAUCGUGUUCAUAACACUCAUUUUCUAUUUGAAAAUGAGUCUUCUAGGCAAUAGCUACCUUUCAGUCCCCGUUCUGAAUGAGAGUUGACAUCAUUCAAAAAUUAAAAGUGAUCAUGUUCUUUUGACUUGUUUUCGGCUUUUCUGUGUAACUUUAUAAAAUACUCAGAUCACUUUUUCAGGCAUUUUUGCCUUCAGUAUUGAGGUUAAGUAUACGGACAUGAAAAAAACAGGAGUGAAAGCAUAGAUGUUCUCUUUCCUCUUCUGCCUUCCCUCUGACAGAAUUAGGCCCUUUAAUUAAGCAUUGACUGUGAUAAGUCUUGUGACACAGGGUUAUUACAGCUCUGUAGAUGCUGGGCUUAAAGCUGCUCUCUCUCUUUUAACUUCUGGAUCCUUUAAUCUUGAAAGCUACAGAGAAUUCAGUGUUAGAAUGAUCAUUGUUCUGUCUUUUUUAUAUGGCCAUUGUGUGAAUUCAGAGAUAUGCAUUUGACCUUUUUAGUUGGAGGAGUUCCAUUUGUUGAGCAAAACAGCACUGUGAGGUGAGUAUCUGUCCUUCAGAAAGAGAGACUAGAGCCAGGAUUUCAGUCCUGCUUGGAAAAACUUGUCCCAAGCUCACUUGUAGGUCUCUCAUAGCAGGAGAAAAAUGUGUGAACUUUUUAUCAUGUUGUGGAGUGGGAAUUGGAGGUAGGUUGGAUCUCAACUUGUAGUUGGAUCUGGUUGCUUGCUGGCAUUUAGAGAAAGAACAUUUACUAUUCAAGAUAGUCAGAUGUAAAAGCUAAAAAGGCAGCAAAACAGACACAGAACUAGAGGAUGAGUGUACACACAUAACAGGAACAGAUUUUUAGCCUCCCUCAUUACAUAUCCUGAUGUUUACCCGGGCUUCUAGGAUAUUACAAGUGAGCAGGCAUUCAGACCUCCCUCAUACACAUUUGCAUUAAAUCUGCUUUCUUUAACUUCAUUUACCAGGCUUUAAAACAAGUGGGAGAGAUCUCAGUUACUUGCUUUAGCUGAGAUUUGAUGGCCAGAAAAUAAGGCUAGUUUUCAAAAUUGUUUGAGAGUAAGACCUGCAAGAUUUGAAUUCAAGUGGGAUUUAUUCCAUCUUCUUGCUAUUAAUAUUUAGAAGCUAGCCAGAGAUGUACCUUUUCAUUGGAGUUUGGCUUAGACUUCCAGUUCCAAGCCUAACAAAAAGGACUGUCAUCUUUCCUUUAAGAGGGGAGGAAUUGAAGAAAAGCCUCAGAAUAAAUUUUAUUUCAACAUUUACAUAUCUGUGCUGUGUAUGUCUAUGAACAAGCAUAUUAUGGUUUUAGUAAAAUUCUGAUUAUGUAUCAUGCUGCAUGGGUCUAACACAGCAUUGUGACAUUUUGUCCCCUUGGCAGAAAAACUUUCAAUACAACGCUGAUAUUUUCUUUUUUUUCUUCUGAAUUUUGGUUUUAAGUAGUUAAUGAAAUGAACAUUGUUGCUGCAGUUCAUACUCUCCUUAUCUAUUUUUCUCUUUUCUUCCUUCAUAUUUUGGAAGUAUUAUUGGUAUUUCAUGAACAGGACAUAAAAGUAGCUUAUCUUAAUGGACUUUUUCAAGGUACUGUUGUUUCAAAUUUGAUUUGGAAUUAUAUGCUUCAGGAAGACUUUCCAGAUGAGGAAGCUGUAUUGAUGUGAUGCCCCUGUAACUGUUCACUGCUAUAAUGUAAUGUCUAUUUUAUUAGCUGGAGAAGGACAUUGUUAAGCCCCUUCUAUCUAGAAAGUCACCAAAGGAAUGCUGCCCUCUCCCCACAAAACAACAAAAGCAGAAUGGCAGUGAAAUGCUACAUUUGGUGAACUGCGCACUCAUUUUUCAGCUUGAACCAUAAACGCCUGUUGUAACUGCAAAUUAGGUAGCGCAGAUUUCAACAGAACCUCGUAUUAAAGAUGAUGUUGAGGAUGAUAUUGUCUGGAACUAUGCCAAGACAAAACAAAGUUAUUCCACUGGGGAAGGGUAGAUGGAUACGGAGUUCUUUGUACUCCCUGGUUAAAAUUAUACAGGUCUAAAGCUUAUAUGGAAAAUCCCAGUGUCAGUCAGAGAGGCAGCUGCCUUUCUUAGGAAAGCGAGCCUUAGUUAUACAAUUCAGUUCAAAAGCAGAUGAAGUGGUUUAUGAUCUGUUCCUGUGUCAAUGAAUCCACUGACAUUUUUACUCAAACAUGUCAUCUGUGAAAAGUAAACUUCCUACUAGUAGAUUAAAUCCUGGAAUUGACUUCCUAUUUUAAUGUUAAAGAAGAUCUUUCAAGUUUGACUUGUGACAAGAAAGUGAGAUGCAAAUGAAUCCAAAGUUUAAAAUUAAGUAUAUUUUCAAGAGUACACACAAGUAAGCACAGCAUCCAUGCUAUUGUUAUAUAACAGAAACUAUGAAACAAUAAAAGGUCGAAACAAACACCUUUGUCACUUCUGGGGAUGUUGCCAUUUUUGCAUAGUGAGAUAUUAUAAUUAUUAAAUGCAAAAAGGUAUAAAUAUAGGGCCAGAAAUUGCCUAAACUCAUCAGCAGAUUUUAAUAAAUCAUUGUAGAUGUAUGUAAUCCCUUUGUUCGUUAAACCUUUAUCUGAGAAUCUGAAUAUUUCUGUGAACUCCAGAUAAAAACAAAACUUGAUUUUGUGUGUAUAUAUUGCAUGUACUUUAAAUUAGGAAUAGUUUUAAAUGCAAUU